rnacentral:rRNA from 1 species
AGAUUGAACGCUGGCGGCAUGCCUUACACAUGCAAGUCGAACGGCAGCACGGGAGCAAUCCUGGUGGCGAGUGGCGAACGGGUGAGUAAUACAUCGGAACGUGCCCAAUCGUGGGGGAUAACGCAGCGAAAGCUGUGCUAAUACCGCAUAAGAUCUACGGAUGAAAGCAGGGGAUCGCAAGACCUUGCGCGAAUGGAGCGGCCGAUGGCAGAUUAGGUAGUUGGUGAGGUAAAGGCUCACCAAGCCUUCGAUCUGUAGCUGGUCUGGAGAGGACGACCAGCCACACGUGGGAC